AGAAAAUUUAAUGCUACCAGUACCACCGUGUAAAAGAAAUAAAAAAGGUCAGACGUCUUACCUGAACCAACAUUUUAAUAAUGAAGAAGAGGUGAAAUGCACUGCAUAUAACCAAACAGACAUUAUAUUUGGAAAUCUCACUGAUGAAUUAUCAAAAAAACCAGAAAAGAUUGAAGGUCAACAAUUCACUCCAAAGAAUAUAAAAAACAAGAGAUAUGAAAAGCUUAACCAACUUCACCCAUGAACAGUUCUAUAAUAUUUACAAUUUCAUUUCCCUUCAGAAUGAUUUCAAUCAAGAUUGUUUUGAGUGUAAUUGACCAAUUUUUUUUAUUUAUGAUUAGAAUAAGAACUGGAAUAGC
rnacentral:lncRNA from 1 species